rnacentral:rRNA from 1 species
AGUUUGAUCCUGGCUCAGGAUGAACGCUAGCUACAGGCUUAACACAUGCAAGUCGAGGGGCAGCGGGAUUGAAGCUUGCUUCAAUUGCCGGCGACCGGCGCACGGGUGAGUAACGCGUAUCCAACCUUCCGUACACUCAGGGAUAGCCUUUCGAAAGAAAGAUUAAUACCUGAUGGUAUGAUGAGAUUGCAUGAUAGCAUCAUUAAAGAUUUAUCGGUGUACGAUGGGGAUGCGUUCCAUUAGGUAGUAGGCGGGGUAACGGCCCACCUAGCCAACGAUGGAUAGGGGUUCUGAGAGGAAGGUCCCCCACAUUGGAACUGAGACACGGUCCAAACUCCUACGGGAGGCAGCAGUGAGGAAUAUUGGUCAAUGGACGAGAGUCUGAACCAGCCAAGUAGCGUGAAGGAUGAAGGUCCUACGGAUUGUAAACUUCUUUUAUAAGGGAAUAAACCCUCCCACGUGUGGGAGCUUGUAUGUACCUUAUGAAUAAGCAUCGGCUAACUCCGUGCCAGCAGCCGCGGUAAUACGGAGGAUGCGAGCGUUAUCCGGAUUUAUUGGGUUUAAAGGGAGCGCAGACGGGUCGUUAAGUCAGCUGUGAAAGUUUGGGGCUCAACCUUAAAAUUGCAGUUGAUACUGGCGUCCUUGAGUGCGGUUGAGGUGUGCGGAAUUCGUGGUGUAGCGGUGAAAUGCUUAGAUAUCACGAAGAACUCCGAUUGCGAAGGCAGCACACUAAUCCGUAACUGACGUUCAUGCUCGAAAGUGUGGGUAUCAAACAGGAUUAGAUACCCUGGUAGUCCACACGGUAAACGAUGGAUACUCGCUGUUGGCGAUAUACUGUCAGCGGCUUAGCGAAAGCGUUAAGUAUCCCACCUGGGGAGUACGCCGGCAACGGUGAAACUCAAAUG